rnacentral:rRNA from 1 species
UACGUAGGGUGCAAGCGUUAAUCGGAAUUACUGGGCGUAAAGCGUGCGCAGGCGGUUCGGAAAGAAAGAUGUGAAAUCCCAGAGCUUAACUUUGGAACUGCAUUUUUAACUACCGAGCUAGAGUGUGUCAGAGGGAGGUGGAAUUCCGCGUGUAGCAGUGAAAUGCGUAGAUAUGCGGAGGACACCGAUGGCGAAGGCAGCCUCCUGGGAU